UCCUAAGUAGCUCUACGGUAGAGCGGUCAAUUGUUAACUGAUUGGUCGUACAUUCAAAUCCUACAUGGGGAG
rnacentral:tRNA from 1 species